rnacentral:rRNA from 1 species
AUACGUAGGGGGCGAGCGUUGUCCGGAAUGAUUGGGCGUAAAGGGCGCGUAGGCGGCGCGGUAAGUCUGGAGUGAAAGUCCUGCUUUCAAGGUGGGAAUUGCUUUGGAUACUGCCGCGCUUGAGUGCAGGAGAGGUUAUCGGAAUUCCCGGUGUAGCGGUGAAAUGCGUAGAGAUCGAGAGGAACACCAGUGGCGAAGGCGGGUAACUGGACUGCAACUGACGCUGAGGCGCGAAAGUGUGGGGAGCAAACAGGAUUAGAUACCCUGGUAGUCCACACUGUAAACGAUGAAUGCUAGGUGUAAGAGGUAUCGACCCCUUUUGUGCCGGAGUCAACACAAUAAGCAUUCCGCCUGGGGAGUACGGCCGCAAGGUUGAAACUCAAAUGAAUUGACGGGG